rnacentral:lncRNA from 1 species
UGGCGGGCGCCCCUCCCCCAGCCUCGCUGCCGCCUUACAGUUUGAUCUCAGACUGCUGUGCUAGCAAUCAGUGAGACUCCCUAGGCGUAGGACCCUCCGAGCCAGGUGCGAGAUAUAAUCUCGUGGUGGUGCGCCGUUUUUUAAGCCAGUCGGAAAAGCGCAGUAUUCGGAUGGGAGUGACCCGAUUUUCCAGGUGCCGUCUGUCACCCCUUUCUUUGACUCGGAAAGGGAACUCCCUGACUCCUUGCGAGACGUGGAAGCUCUUUUUAAUGUCUGAGAUACUUGUAAAACAAAACUGCACUAAAGAUACGGCCUAGCUAAAUCAAAUGAAUGGGACACAUAGAGAGACAUGCCGUCACUCUGCCACACGGGCUGGAAUGCAGUGGCACAAUCAUGGCUUACUCACAUUUGGAUUACCAAAAUGUAAGGUACAAUAGUAUGCAAAAGUAACUAGGAAACCAGGCUCUCAAAGUAUAGUCACAGAAAAUGUAUGUGUGUACCUGUGAGUGUAUGUCUGUAUUUAGCCAAUUUUAUCAAAUUUUAGAAUAAGAAAUAACUACUUCACUGAGAAAUGACUCAUGGUUUUAAUUCAUUAACAACUGUGUAUGGAGUUUUUUUUUCAUGAUUUAUGGACUCUGUUUUGAAAUACUACACAGUUAUAUGUAUAUAAGUUACUUGUUAAAUUUUUAUAUAUAAAUAUAUGUUGUGUGUGUGUGUGUGUGUGUGUAUGUGUGUGUUAUAUAGACAGACUCAUUUAAAAGGAAAGAAAAAGAAUGAAUUUUAGGAACCAAGAGAACUAUGC